GAGACACUGCUAAUGCUGUUGUGCCACAGUGAGUACUCCUGACCAUGAAUAAUUUUUAAAAGGAAAAAGGGGAAGUUAUUUGCAGUUACUCAUUUCAGGAGGGGAGCGUCAGAGUAUUCCUUAUCUUCCAAUGUGUACAGACUUUUUUCUAAUUGGUUAGCAGUGAGGUAAUAAUUUGGUGUUCUAAUACCCUUGUGCUCAGCCUGAAGUUACCAUCCUACACCUGGGUAGGGGCCUUAGUUCCUGCACAAGUAUGCAAAGAUAUUGCUAUGUAUAUUCCUUGAGGUGGAACCCAGGCUCUGCUUUAUCUCUGCACUACUAUUGUUUCUUGAUUGCUCCUUUGUUUCUAGAUUCUCUCACUUUUCUGAUUAGCAAAUGUUUGAAUCUGCCCUUUGGAACCUAGGGAAGCUCAAGGAGGCUGAAACCUCUUUCCUACACACUAGAAACAAGGAACAUGGAAAGGAUUUGUACCUGGGAGGACCCCACAGUGUCCUGCUUGGUUUCAAUAACUUGCCUGCCAAAACCCCUUUUUAUUUUGUUUAGUCUAAGAUGGUAUAUAAACCUAAUCAUCUAAUCAUCUCCUUGUAUCUUGUUUCUUCCUGAAAGUUUCCUGUGUAUGUAUAUAAUUAACACCCCUUGUUUAUCUGUCUUUUUUCAAUGAUAAAUAAAAUUCGUAUUUUAUGUCAAAACAAGGAAAAUUUAAAUAUAACUUUUUUUUUUUUGGCUGGUUUAGGCCUUCCCUCCUACCCCCACCUUUGGUGUGUAUUGUGCAUCUGCAUUAACCAGAUCUCCUUAGGAGAUAGCAUUUCUUCUUUAUUUCAUGAAGUGUUACAACUCCUUAGGAGAUAAGCAUCAUUCUUAAUCUUAUGAGGAACCAUGGUGACCUAUGACCAAUACUCUUUAUAGGGGUAGAUCUGAAUUGUGUAGACUGUCAAUGAUAUAUCACUAAAUAUACAGCCCUCUGUCCCCAAAACUUAUAUAACUGUGCUUUGACCUCUAACAGGUGGAACAAUCCUUGGAGCUUUCUGAGAGCCUGUUCCUGGCUUAUAAUCCACAGUUUGGUACAAAUAAAGUUUUUUGUUUCUUCCUUAGGUUGACUGAUUAAUUUUUUAUUGAAAUCAGUAUGAUUCAUAGGCCAGCCAGAUGACUAGAAGGACAGAAGAAAAAGAUUUCCUCCCUUACAACAGGAAGGAAAAAGACUGUCUGCUCUAUAAUGAAAGGAUAAUGACCUUAGGAAACCUAAGUUCUCAAACUAACUGGACUCUUAUACAGGCACAGAGUCAUCUCAGAAUAGAUCAAUAUGAUUAUAAAGUAAGCCCAAAGAAAGGUGCCAAAGAAAAUAUAGCUAUAAAAAUGCUGUCCAGAAUUUACUUCCAAAUAGAUACACAUUUAGACAAGACAUUUUGUUGAGAGUAAUAAAAACUCAAUCCAAAAUUGCAUAAAUCAAAAGUGAAAUAAUGGGUUUUUACCCUUGCAAGUCCAGGGUUGACUCUGAUUUCAAGCACAGCAGAACUCAGGCUAAACUCCCUCCCCACAAAAAACAAAAAGUCAGUGUGUUAGCCUUAUCACUUUACUUGCUGGUGGGUUACUUCCCAUGACUGGGGACUUAGGGUUGCUGACAGCUUUAAGAUUGCAACCCAGAAGGAAAGAACUUCUUUUUUUCAUUGUCCAAAGUGAAAACCCAAGAUAUGUCUGAUUAAUCCUUUAUGGGUUACUUUUAGGCUAGUGUUAUUAUCCAGAGGAAUGUGGUAUUGCCAUAAAUGGGGGAUAGGAUUAGAAGUGAGGAGAAAGGAAGUCACAGAGAGAAUUGUGGAGAACUGACAACAGCUUCCACAGCUACCAUUUUUAAUAAUUAAAGUUCUUAUUUGUCAAAAAGGGCUAAACAAGUUAGUUGGUAAAUUUCAUUUUAGAUCUAAAAUUUCUUACUUUCAAUUAUAAGCUUUGUCUUUGCAGCACCAGAUGCAUUUGAACUGUGAGGAAAUAAAUCAGAUAUUUAAUCUCUUCAACCUUUUGAAAACUCGUUUUCAUUUAUAGACAACUCUUAUCUCAAGAUGCCUUUUAAAAGCACAUUUUGUUCUCAGUUUUUACUGUGUCCAUUGCCUCCCUGGAAAUCCUCACAUUCUUUUCCUUUAAUGUUUCCUUUUUGCUUGUCUUCUUAUUCAUUUCCUCCCUUGAAAGCUUCAGCUCUACUUCAGGUCACUCAGUGAUUUCAGAAGUCUGCUAGUAAAGGAUUUAAUUUUCAAAUGUAAAGGGAGCUCAUGACUAGCUUUAUAAUUGGUUUAUUUUGCUUCUGUUCUUUCUAACCACAUCCUGACUCCAUAUGUUCCACACAGUUUAGGUGUUAGUGAUGUCAUGAACUACAAACUGAAAUUUUGGCAGCAAUACAAAGAAAGAACUAAUUCUUUAAUAUAUCUUGAAUAUAUAUGCAAUUGCUAAACUAAUAUUUGGUAGGUGAUUUGAGAUUUAAAACUAUAAAAUAUAUUUACUUAGGAAUGGACUCAUUUAACCUGUAAUUUACUUUUUGUUAAAAAAAAAAGCAAUGUGCAUGUGAAUUCAGCUAUUUCAUGGUGGUAGUCAAAGUCAGUAGAAUAUUUGCACUGAGAUCAAUAAUAUUAUGCAAUUUAAGGGUUAGGUCUGUUUUUAAGAAGAAAAAAUAAUACUUGGAUGAUCAAGCAUAUUAUAUUUUUAUGGCAGUUUAAGAUGGUAUAAUUAGAAAUUUACUUUGAACAAUACAAAAUGUUGACUACAGAUGUAUCCAAGUAGUCUUACAUCAGAAAUAUGAGCAGAAAUACAUAUGGAGAGGAUUGUAGCAGAAACCAAGGAGUCUCUGUUUGCACAAAGACAAUUACAAAGUCACAGCCUGGGUGGCCCAGACCCUCAUGUUAGGCAUACUUUUCAACCCAGGAUAAAUCAAUACCAUCAUAAAAACUGGUCAAAUAGGAAGGACAGUGACAAAGAAUAAUACUUGCAACCAUUAAAAUGCUAUUCACACUGCACUUCUGAAGGACAGUAUUAGGGUUCCCAGGGUUCCAUGAUCUAGAUUUUUUAGUUGUUAAUAAUAAAUGCAAUGUCACUGGAAGUCCUGCUCUGUGUCAGGUUUUCAACUUUAUGGAUCUUAACUAAUUUUCUUCUUAUAUCCAUUCUAUGAUGUAGGUAUGAAUUGAUAGACAAAGAAGCUGCCCACACUUAGCCAUAUAUCAUUUACAGGUAUUAAAUUAUAAACCUACGAUUCUCUUAUUUCAAAGCUGAAACAUUAAAUAUUAAACAACAGUUUCCAUAUUUUUAAUAUCUAUAAAGCAAUGAUCAAGAACAAGUUUGGUAAUAAGCACAGAUAUUUCACAUUCUUAAUACUUGAAUUAGCCACUGAAAUUCUAUUUAAAAUUACCUCUUUUUAUAGCAAAUAAUAUGAAACACAGCAGCUAUUUCUCCAUUCAAACAAGUUACAACUAGCCCAGUAUCAUUUAGGCAAAUAGUGGAAGCUCUCAAAAGAAAGAUGGCUGAAAUGUCAAAGAGGGUCAAAAGACAGCUCAACAAAAGAUCAGCAACUCAGAACUGGCUGUGGUUUACAGUUCAGCCCUGUUAGAAUGUGGAUUAUCUCUUUUGAACAGUUAAUGGAAUGGAAAUGGCAUAUAAGAUUUCUUUGCAUCAAUAAAAAGAAGCUCAACAAUGAGGUCUUGUAUGAAAAAUAGUGAGAAUGUGAUAAAAGAAAUACUUUGACAGAUCAGCUCAACAUCACGUACUUCUGAAGAAGGAAGAUUUAAUGUACAUAAAGAGAUUUCGGGGAGUUCCUGUCUUGGCGCAACAGAAAUGAGUCUGACUAGGAACCAUGAGGUUGUGGGUUCCAUCCCUGGCCUCGCUCAGUGGGUUAAGAGGUGUUGCUGUGAGCUGUGGUGUAGGUCACAGAUGUGGCUCGGAUAUGGCGUUGCUGUAGCUCAGGUGUAGGCAGGCAGCAACAGCUCUGAUUAGACCCCUAGCCUGGGAACCUCCAUAUGCCGUGGGUGUGGCUCUAAAGAAAAAGGCAAAAAUAAUUAAAAAAUAAAAAAAAA
rnacentral:lncRNA from 1 species